rnacentral:rRNA from 1 species
CCUACGGGGGGCAGCAGUGGGGGAUAUUGCACAAUGGGGGAAACCCUGAUGCAGCGACGCCGCGUGAGUGAAGAAGUAUUUCGGUAUGUAAAGCUCUAUCAGCAGGGAAGAAAAUGACAGUACCUGACCAAGAAGCCCCGGCUAACUACGUGCCAGCAGCCGCGGUAAUACGUAGGGGGCAAGCGUUAUCCGGAUUUACUGGGUGUAAAGGGGGCGUAGACGGUUAUGUAAGUCUGGAGUGAAAGCCCGGGGCCCAACCCCGGGACUGAUUUGGAAACUGUGUAACUGGAGUACAGGAGGGGCAGGCGGAAUUCCUGGUGUAGCGGUGAAAUGCGUAGAUAUCAGGAGGAACACCGGCGGCGAAGGCGGGCUGCUGGACUGAAACUGACGUUGAGGCUCGAAAGCGUGGGGAGCAAACAGGAUUAGAUACCCCGGUAGUC